UGCAUCGGCCGGGAAUCGAACCCCGCCCGCGUGGCAGGCGAGCAUUCUACCACUGAACCACCGAUGG
rnacentral:tRNA from 1 species